rnacentral:misc_RNA from 1 species
AUGGAGAAGCAUUCUCAAAGGAAAGAAGGUGGUAGAGCAGGAGAAAGUGAUCUCUGACUAUUUGUCUGCUGAUAAUCUAAUAAGUGCAAUUGGGAUUUUUUGCAGCAGUUCAUCCCUAAUGAAAUCUCUUUCAAAAUCCAUUCUAUUUUGGUUGACAAACAUGUCGCAGACUGGGGACAGUGUCACCUGGGGGGAGACUCGCUCGGGAGUAUUCUCUGUCAAAUCUGCGGCCAGGCUGGCUUUUCGGGAUUGGGAGCUGGGCAUUGUUGACCCCAUUUUUAAGUUGGUAUGGAAGAUUAUUCUGACCGUCCCUAGGCUUAAGUUUUUUCCUUUGAAAGGUGGCUCAUGAUCGCUUGCUAACGAAUAAAGCAAGGCUGGAUCGCAAUAUGAGCUUGGAUAGU